AUAAUUAAUCAUGUAUUUGAUGCUUUUUAUGAAAUUCAAAAUACUUUUUGUAGUUAUAUCUCAGAAUCACUGAUUAUUUCUACUAAAAAAGUGCAAAUAAUACUGAAUAAGUUUAAAGAAAGACAUUUAAAUACUAUUAAACCUCUACACUUAGCUGCAUCUUUGUUGGAUCCCAAAACUCAAGGGUGUAAUUUAUCAAAUUCAGAAGUAUUAAAAGCUAUUGAGUUUAUUGAUCAAAUGAUAUCUAUACAAAAUAAUAUGACUGAUUCUCUUAAAAUGGAUGGUGCUCAAAUAAUAGCUGAUAUAGCAAAUUACAGAUCUCGACAAGAUAUAUGGAGCAAUAAUUUUAUUUGGAAAUGUGUGGAGAAAAUAAGUCCUUUAACAUGGUGGAAUAGUUUUUGUUCAAGUACUCAUUUAUGUAUUAUUGCAAAAAAAAAUAUUAAUUGUUCCUGCUACAUUAUCAGCCACUGAACGUUCAUUUAGCACAUUCUCAAAUAUUCACACAAAAAAAGGAACCGUUUAACAACAUCAAAUGCUUCAAAAAUAACUUUUGUUGCCCAUUAUUGGAGACAAAAUAUAGAAAAGAAUAAAAAAGUUACUUAUGUUAAUUAUGAAGGCGAACCCCGUGAACCUAAUGAAAUGGAUAAAAAUACACUUAAUAUAUCAAUUGUGUCAGAUGAAAAUUCAAUGUCAAUUGAUGGUUUAAUUUCGUCCGACGAUGAAGAGUGGUGUCCUAGUGACAGUGACAAUGAUUUCUUUAAUGAGUAUUUAAAACAAAAAGAAAUAAGUUAUCUUGUUGUUAUUUACAUUUAUAAGUAAACAUUUAUGUUAAUAAAGUUAUCCUUUGCUUUUA